rnacentral:rRNA from 1 species
GACGAACGCUGGCGGCGUGCCUAAUACAUGCAAGUUGAGCGCUGAAGGUUGGUACUUGUACCAACUGGAUGAGCAGCGAACGGGUGAGUAACGCGUGGGGAAUCUGCCUUUGAGCGGGGGACAACAUUUGGAAACGAAUGCUAAUACCGCAUAAAAACUUUAAACACAAGUUUUAAGUUUGAAAGAUGCAAUUGCAUCACUCAAAGAUGAUCCCGCGUUGUAUUAGCUAGUUGGUGAGGUAAAGGCUCACCAAGGCGAUGAUACAUAGCCGACCUGAGAGGGUGAUCGGCCACAUUGGGACUGAGACACAGCCCAAACUCCUACGGGAGGCAGCAGUAGGGAAUCUUCGGCAAUGGACGAAAGUCUGACCGAGCAACGCCGCGGGAGUGAAGAAGGUUGUCGGAUCGUAAAACUCUGUUGGUAGAGAAGAACGUUGGUGAGAGUGGAAAGCUCAUCAAGUGACGGUAACUACCCAGAAAGGGACGGCUAACUACGUG